rnacentral:lncRNA from 1 species
CCCACUGAGGACUACUUGUUUUUACAGUAGUUCUCACGCCCAGUUGUUACCCUAUGUUUUGCAGAGCCUGCUGUUCCGGCUGCUGCGUCUUCAGAGGCAGAUCGAGGCAAAGGCGUCGCGAGUUAGAGCUGUACCCGACGAGUUGCUGAGAUAGAGGAUCCACCAUUACAGGUAGUUCCGGUUUAUUUUGUUGAGUUCAUGUAUAUACAGUUGUUAUAACUCGCUGGAGCGAGUAUCUUUGUAUAGCGUUUUGUUGUAUGUAUGUGAGACUUGUUUUAUUCUACCUGUUUGGUUUCUUUACAGUUCUAUACUACUGGUUGUAGUAUUGUAUAUUUUCAGUUACCGAUACGCUUCAUAUACAGGAAAAAUUUUUUGUAUACGGCGGAUUUGUCGACGUGCCCGAAAAUUGUGUAAUCCGGGGCAUAACAGAUUAAGUUGGUAUCAGAGCUUAGCAUUAGGUCGUUGGGACCUAGGUAACCUAAGUAGGCAAACCUUAGGAAGGCAAAACGCGAGAGCCGUGAUUAAUGCGAAAGUCAAUGAUAAAUUGUUCUAACUCAUCCUUGAGCAGAACAAGUGAUUGAAGGAGUUCCUGUUUUGGCCUGAAAAAUUAUGUUGGCUGCAGACAACAUAAUUUUGGAGAAAAAACAGGGGCCGCCUUCCAGACUUUCGUUGAUUGGGUUGAGAGUGUUUGUAUUGUACCUGACCCUGUCCUGUUUCUUGCAGCUAUGUAUCGUCGCCGAGGUUGACCGUCGUUGCGGGAGCGUGCUCAGUUGACUCAGGAUCGUGUGGGACUUUCCGAGAUGCCAGAGCGGACGGAGCGCAGUACUCGACCGGAGGCGAGUGUACCCCCUGUUGUGGAGCCGAGUGCGCAACCGGAGGCUAGCGCAUCCCCUGAUCUGAGUGCACAGGUAGCUGCCUUGACAGAGGUGACGAGGCGGCAGGGGGAGUUGUUGGAGAGGAUGUGCGAGAGGCUAGCUUUGCCCGAGUUCAGCACCGAGGGCACCAGAGUCGUCUAUUCCACCUUCGACUACCCCAGUGCCAGCACCAGCUGCAGCAGUCCCUCCGCGAGCAGCAGUUCCAGUAGCGCCAGUUGCGCCUGCUAGGGGGCCAGUACAGUUGACAGAGGCCGAGCAGGAGCGGUGGACGGAGAGGUUGGCUCGUUUUCGCCGUUUUGAUCCACCGAUUUUCGAUGGCAGUUGCACUGAGGCCUGGGUUGUUGAGGGAUGGGUCAGUGCAAUGGAGAAGUUAUUUGAGGAUCUGUUCAUUCCUGAGGGGGAGCAGGUGUCUUUGGGAGUCCAUUGCUUGGCAGGUGAUGCUCAUGCCUGGUGGAGGAAGGUGAGGAGAGAGUAGGGACUGAUAGCGUUGCAGUUGAGAUAGGAUGAGUUCUGUGGAAUACUGUUUGGGACGUUCGUUCCCAACAGUGUGAAAUAGAAGCUCGAGGAGGAUUUGAAGAGGAUUCAGCAGGGGGAUCGUCCAGUGUAGGAGUACAUUCGGGAGUUUACUCGACUCCUGAACUGUGUGCCAUUUGUGGCCAGGGACGAGGCACACAGGGUCUAUCUGUUUGAGCAGGGGCUGAGACCCGACAUUUUCAGGUUGGCGCGGAUGCAGAGGUCGAGGACUCUGAAUGCGUCCAUAGAGCAGGCCUUGUGGGUGGAGAGAGGUGAGGUGUCACUGUAGGAGAGGACUCAGGCAGCGGGGCAGAGUCACGAGAGGAAGCGUCCAGCCCCAGACGAGAGCGGACAGUCAAGCAGCCGACGUCCACCGAGACCUCCACGAUUGUGUUCUCAGAGUCGUGGGUCUUCGGGACGUCAACGUUCUGGGGGACCUCGUCAGCAGAGGCAGUUUCAGGGGUCACAGCAGUGUGUGAUUUGUGGGGGACCGCACGGGGCCCGGCAGUGUGAGCAGCGUGAGGGCCGGUGUUUUGGGUGUGGACAGCCAGGACAAAUGAGGUCAGCGUGUCCCCGAGCAGCAUCACCGGCACCAUCCACUGCAUCAGGGCAGCCAGCAUCCCCACAGUUUUCUGGAGCAGUUCCGAGUUUUCGUUGGGAGGACAUGUCGUCUGUGCCGCGACAGGCUGAGCGGCGACAGCAGGCUCCGAGUGGCAGAGUCUAUACAGCCCAGGUGGAGGACUCUACAGCAGCCAACCGGGUGGUGGCAGGUAUUAUUUUGAUUUUCGGCAUUAGAGUUCGUACCCUUUUUGAUACUGGAGCAUCUCAUUCUUUUGUUAGCCGAGUAUUCGCAUUGUUGCAUGGUCUAGAGUUAGGAGCAUUGUCACAGGCACGAGAGGUGCAGAUCCCGGACCAUGUUUUAUAGGUUGCCGAGUGUUGCUGGUCGUGUCCGGUGCAGUUGGAUUCGUGGAUCAUGCCCGCAGAUCUAUUGGUGUUAGGGCAGCUGCAGGACUUCGACGUUGUGCUCGGUAUGGAUUGGCUGGCGCGGUACUAUGCUACUAUUGCUUGUGGAACGAGGACUGUGACGUUCCGUGAGCCAGGCCAGGAGGAGUUUACUUUUAGGGGCUGCAGGAGCACGUUGUUUGCUACUUGGAUUUCUUCGGCGAGGGCUCGACAGCUGAUGAACAGAGGAUGCGUCGCGUUUCUGGCGACGGUAGUAGAGGUACCUAUGGUGGCGCCGGGACUCGCGGAUAUCCCUGUAGUUCGCGACUUUCCGGAUGUGUUUCCCCCUGAGUUGACGACGAUGCCGCCGGAGAGGGAGAUUGAGUUCGUGAUUGAUAUAGUUCCUGGAACUGCACCAAUCUUAAAGGUACAUUAUCGGAUGGCACCGGCGGAGCUGAGAGAGCUAAAGGCACAGCUUCAGGAUCUGAUGGAUAAGAGGUAUGUGAGACCCAGUGUGUCGCCUUGGGGAGCGCCAGUGUUAUUUGUGAAGAAGAAAGAUGGUUCACUUAGGUUAUGUGUAGAUUACCGAGAGCUGAAUAAAGUGACCAUCAAGAACAAGUAUCCACUGCCGCGCAUUGAUGAUUUAUUUGAUCAGUUGCAGGGAUCCUUCGUCUUCUCGAAGAUUGAUCUUCAGUCCGGUUACCACCAGCUGAGGGUGAGGGCCGAGGAUGUUUUCAAGACGGCUUUUCGGACUCCGUACGGGCAUUAUGAGUUUACGGUCAUACUUUUUGGAUUGACGAAUGCCCCUGCCGCAUUCAUGGAUUUGAUGAACAGAGUGUUCAAGCCGUUCUUGGAUAGAUUUGUGGUAGUCUUCAUCGAUGACAUUCUGAUUUACUCCCGUAGUGAUGCUGAGCAUGAGGAGCACCUGAGGAUUGUGCUACAGCUUCUGCGAGAGAAGAAGCUGUAUGCCAAGUUAAAAAAGUGCGAGAUUUGGUUGCGGGAAGUUGCUUUCUUGGGCCACGUGAUUUCUGCAGAGGGAGUGGCAGUAGACCCGAAGAAGAUUGAUGUUAUUCGGGAUUGGCCCAGACCGACGACGGUGACUGGGCUGUGGAGUUUUCUGGGACUAGCAGGAUAUUACCGUCGUUUUGUGGAGGGCUUUGCGAAGCUUUCCACACCCCUUACCAGGUUGACACGGAAGGGAGUUCGGUUUGUUUGGACUGAGGACUGCCAGAGGAGCUUCGACGAGUUGAGACAGAGAUUGAUGACAGCUCCUAUCCUUGCCCUUCCUGUGAUGGGGGAAGGAUUUGCGAACUAUAGUGAUGCAUCGCACAACGGACUGGAUUGUGUGCUGAUGCAGAAUGGUAGGGUGAUUGUUUAUGCUUUACGGCAGUUAAAGGAUUAUGAGAAGAAUUACCCUACGUAUGAUUUGGAGCUUGCAGCGAUAGUCUUUGCUUUGAAGUUGUGGCGGCAUUAUUUGUAUGACGAGCACUGCGAGGUUUUCACCGAUUAUAAAAGUCUCAAGUAUCUGUUCACUCAAAAGGAAUUGAAUCUGAGGCAGCGCCGGUGGCUAGAGCUACUGAAGGACUAUGGCAUUAGUAUUCGAUAUCAUCCCGGCAGGGCGAAUGUAGUGGCAGAUGCGUUGAGCAGGAGGGUAGCGCAGAGCUUGAGCUUGUUGAUCACUCAGCAGAGACCGCUACUUGAGGAGCUACAGCGGCUGAGGCUUGAGGUGGUGUCCCCUGGGUCUACUGUAAGACUGAUAUCUCUCGUCUUGCAACCCACUAUAUUGGAUAGGAUCCGGAAGAAACAGAGUGGAGAUCCACAUUUGUUGAGGAUUCGAGAGCAGUUAAUUAGGGGACAGGCCGAGGGUUUUGCUUUGGACAGCUCGGGAGUACUGCGGUACAGAGACCGACUGUGUGUGCCUGUGGAUUCUGAGAUCCGAGAGGACAUCUUGAGGGAGGCUCAUUGUACACCUUAUACGGUUCACCCUGGGGGAACCAAGAUGUAUAAAGAUUUGAAUGCACAGUUUUGGUGAAAUGGGAUGAAGAGGGACAUUGGCAGAUUUGUAGCUCAGUGUCUGACUUGUCAAUAGGUAAAUGCCGAGCAUCAGGUACCUGCUGGCAAGCUUCAGAGUCUGUCAGUGCCCGAGUGAAAAUGGCAACAGAUUACGAUGGAUUUCGUUGUGGGGUUGCCUAGAGCACAGGGUGGCUUCGAUGUGAUUUGGGUGAUAGUGGACAGACUGACCAAGUCUGCUCACUUCCUAUCAGUUCAGACCACCUGGUCCAGAGAGAGACUCGCGCAGCUUUACUUGGAUGAGAUCGUCAGGCUACAUAGUGUGCCAGUAUCGAUUGUAUCAGACCGAGACCCGAGGUUUGUGUAUCAUUUCUGGAGAAGUUUACAGACAGCUUUGGGGACUCAGUUACAUUUCAGCACAGCAUUUCACCCCCAGACGAAUGGUCAGUCGGAGCGUACUAUUCAGACUCUAGAGAACAUGCUGAGGGCGUGUGUCCUGGACUUCGGAGGAGGGUGGUAUCGACACAUGAGACUGGCAAAGUUUGCGUAUAACAACAGCUAUCAAACGAGCAUUCAGAUGGCUCCAUUUGAGCCGUUGUAUGGACGCAGGUGUCGAUCCCCGUUGUUUUGGAGUGACGUGGGUGAGAGGAGGACACUUGGGCCUGAGAUUUUGCUAGAGGCUGAGGAAAAUGUGAGAGUUGUUCGACGACACCUUUUGACAGUCCAGAGCCGCCAGAGGAGUUACACUGAUACCAGGAGACGAGACUUAGAGUUUCAGGUUGGAGAUCAUGUUUUUCUCAAAGUCUCGCCGUCCAGAGGGAUUCGCCAAUUUGGAGUGCGUGGAAAGCUCGGUCCACGUUUCGUUGGCCCUUUUGAGGCAUUGGAGCGAGUUGGACCAGUUGCUUACCGGAUUGCUCUACCACCCCGACUAGCUGGGAUUCAUGAUGUGUUCCAUGUCUCGGCGUUGAGGAGAUAUGUUUUUGAUCCUUCUCAUGUGAUAGAUUUCACUCCACUAGAGAUUGGCGAGGAUCUGAGAUAUGAGGAGCGACCGGUGCGGAUUCUUGCUCGCGAGACGAAAGAAUUACGCAACCGGGUCAUCCCGUAUGUAAAAGUGCAGUGGAGCAAUCACGAGGAACGGGAGGCGACUUGGAAGCCAGAGACGGUGAUGAGGGAGUCUUACCCCGAUCUGUUCAUUGCCCCGUCUUAAGGUAUAUUUUAAGUUUCGAGGACGAAACUUUUGUAGUGGUGGAGAAUGUAGUAUCCUUAUAUAUAUAUAUAUAUAUAUAUAUAUAUAUAUAUAACUGCCCCCAUGCAUCGUGCAUGCUUAUCCAUUUAGAGGGUUGCAACACUACGCCUCCUUAAAUUAAAUUUCCUCCAUCUCUUAUUCUCUGUAGCUAACGCAAAGGAGAGGAGGAAUCGUUGAGCUCGUGCUCGCGUCACGCCGGGUACUGUAUAGCGUAGUGUCGUCCGUCAACAAUCGCGAGAGAGGCCCGACAGAAGGGUGCGUUACGCGUUUUCGAGUCGUGGCCGGACUUGGUUUGCCUGUUUGAGGUGGGUUAUCAUCGGAUCUCUCUACUCCUAUAGCCUGUUAUCAUGUAAUUAGGAUAUCGGCGUUGGCUACUGUGUAGUUCUCAGAAUUUUCAUUUGUUUAUGAAUGUUCUAGGCUUAUUAUUGAAUUGGGACAGUUAAAGGUGUUUGUUAUUAAAUAACAGGUGGACUUGGAUAAAACAUAGGAGAAAAUCAGUGUUCGAAACCUGUCAUAAGUUAAACUACCUGAUUUAGCCCUAGGGGCCAUUGUAUGUUUAUACAGUUGCAGUAUCCUCUUAGUGAGUGUGUCAGGUAGUUCAGAUUUCAGCUACGCUUGUGCUGGGAUGCCGAGCCGAUUUUUACAGUAGUGUUUACAGUGUUCCGGACUAGUGGGUGCUGUAGUGGUUGACUGCGGACCCGGAAUUGAUUGUUUCGGUAUCAGAUUGUGCCGAGAGCAUGUGACUAGUGGUUAGUAGUACUGUUAGACCUGUUUUCUUGACUUUAGCAUGUGAGAGCCUGAUUGAGCUCGACAGAGAUACGCUUGCAUACUCGGUUGGGUCGCGCCCCCGAGUGCCGCUCUGGAGUCUGACUUUGUGCUUUCGCGGUGAUGUCACUGACUAGUUUUGCUAUCCACGGACUAUUUUGCGUGGAGGUAGCGUGGCUUAGACAGGCGGGACGGGUACGUUCACAGUUCCCGGGACGGGUGUAUUACAGUCCCUGAAUAGAUUAGGUCAGCAUUAAUAUUUUUACUACAGAUAAUUAGAGUAGAGCAUGAUAGUGUAGUGAUAUUUAGCUGUAGAUGUUUCCAGCUUUCCUACUAUCCCAGCUCCUUCCUGUAGACUUAGUAGGUGGACCGAUGAUUGUUGAGAGAGGCACCCACUGAGGAUUACUUGUUUUUACAGUAGUUCUCACGCCCAGUUGUUACCCUGUGUUUUGCAGAGCCUGCUGUUCCGGCUGCUGCGUCUUUAGAGGCAGAUCGAGGCAAGCGCGUAGCGAGUUAAAGCCCUACCCGACGAGUUGCUGAGAUAGAGGAUCCACCAUUGCAGGUAGUUCCGGUUUAUUUUGUUGAGUUCAUGUACACACAGUUGUUAUAACUCGCUGGAGCGAGUACCUUUGUAUAGCGUUUUGUUGUAUGUAUGUGAGACUUGUUUUAUUCUACCUGUUUGGUUUCUUUACAGCUCUAUACUACUGGUUGCAGUAUUGUAUAUUUUCAGUUACCGAUACGCUUCAUAUACAGGAAAAAUUCUUUGUGUAUGGCAGAUUUAUCGACGUGCCCGAAAAUUGUGUAAUCCGGGGCGUGACAGCGCCAAAGUACUGAAAGGACCACAGGGAAGUUCGUCCCUUCACACAAUCACACUCCAAGCGCAACUUGCCAUAGAUUAAUUGUGUUAGUCACUCUCCUUCCUGUUUCGUCGCUUCGAGUAAGGUGUCCAUUGAAUAUACG